GUUGAGGCAUGAUCUGUAUUGGGGAGCAUUCUCCUGGGGAAAGAAGCGAAGGCCGCUGGAAGCAGAGAGAGCCAAUUCAAGGUAGCGUCCCCCAGGAGGCUGCUGCUUCAGGCCAACACCACUAUCCAUCUCCAGAACUUUUCAUCACCCCAAAUUGAAACUCGGCACCCAUUCAACAACUCCCCGUGACCUUACCAAGAUUUUUUUUUUAAGAACAAGGCUUUAUUGUAUUUAUUUAUUUAGAGGAAGAUUAGCCCUGAGCUAACAUUGCCACGAAUCCUUCUCUUUUUGCCGAGGAAGACUGGACCUGAGCUAACAUCCGUGCCCACCUUCCACCCAGAUCCGAAGCAGCGAACCCUGGCCGCCAAAGAGGAACGUGCAAACUUAGCCGCUGCGCCACCGGGCCGGCUCCCCGCCUCAAGGUAUUGAAAAAGACUAACUGGAAGGAGCAUCUGCUUGCUGAGUGUAGGCUGAGGCCCCAGCAAGAUUCUGCCCUCCAGGCUGAGCAAGGGCUCCAGAUGUGACUAAGCAAGCUCUCGGGUUAGCGCUCCGGCCCUCGCCUAUUGCCCAGCGGGAGGAGCCGGUAUUUCCGGAUUGGAGUCUCAGACCCUGGGAUCCCGGCUAAGGGCGAAGGGGAAGGGAAGCCGAUCAUAAAAGCUAACUUUUCACCAAAAUCGUUAACCUGCUUCCCAUCCCCUAGACAAAAACAAAGACCCCCAAACACACGCAACAGCCCACAACCAUCCUUCCCGUGGUCUGUUGACGGUAACAGGAGCUGACCCCUUCCUUGCCAACAUCCCUGGAGAGGUUCAAGAAGCAGACCUGGGCACGAAUAAAGAAAGCAGCACAGCGAAUUCCGCGCGCCCUCGGCGGGAAGAAAGCUCGGCGGCAGUUUCACAGAGAAGGGAAGAGGCGGGGCAGCGGGCGCGCCGGCUCGGGGACAAGGCGGCCGCGGCCCCUGCCCCAUCGCUGGGUGGCGUGUGAGGCUCCCCUCCGUCCUUCCCGACACCCCAAAGUAGAGCUUCGAGAAGCUGCGUCGGCCUCCCCGAGCUCGCACGCCGGGCACCCUCGGGGUCUCCGGGAAGCAGGAAAUAGUUUGGGUCACACUAAUACACGGGAGCAGCGGCCGAGGCCACUCGCGCGCGCCCACUCCCGGGGCAGCCUCCUGCACUCCGGCGCGGGCGAGGCGCCGCCGGCGACAAGCGCGGGGAGCGCAGGGGCCACCCGCCCAGCAGCCGGUGCCGCCUCGGAUGCGCCCGAGCGCCGCCCGCGCCCUGUGCCGGACUCCGCCGACUGCCCCCAGAUGAGAAAACUGAAGCUCAGAGAGAUUGAAGGGUUUACAUGGACCUGGCUGCUUCAGGCCCUCCAGACCAGCAUUGAUUGCCCAGAGUUACAAGAAAAGGAAGCACAAAUUCUCCAGGUGGCUCACUGAGAGUGAUGAAGAGACUUCUGUGAUCCACUCACCCUGGAGCUGCAGUAGGGGACAGAUGUAAGCCAGGUAUUAGCAACCCAGAUGAUCUUGGGAAGCCACUUCAUUGAAGACAACAGAGCCUCUGUCAGCCCGGCUCCUGAAUAACUACCACAAUCUCCACCCUUUUCCUCUCCUCAAACAUGAAGAUCAGUAUUAAACUAUUACUUGAGUAAAAAAUAAGGUUUUGUUUUGUAUUAAACCAUUGCUAUUUGGGAGUUUAUUUGUUGUAGCAGCUGGCAUUGCCUGAACUAACCCAACUGAAUUAAAUUAUCCAGGCUCUUUAAUGUUCUUGCUUCUCUUUCUUUCUUAUUUUGCUUUUGAUGCUUUCUAUUGGAACUUGCUUAAUCAUUUGAACUUAAUUCAUGAACCUGAGAUUCUGCAGCUCAUAGCACACUUUUUCAUGGCAGAGUUAGUUCAUUUGUUACUCACUGAGCAAGUAUUUAAUAAACAUGUAUCCUGUGCUACAUGUUAAGUGCCAUAUGGGACCAUAAGUAAAAUUUUUUAAAUGUCCCUUUAGAAGUGACUAACGCAAUGAUGUUAACUACCAGGAUAUUAAGGCAACAUUGCUCAUUAUAGCAAAAGACAGGAAAAUGCAUAAAC
ensembl:lncRNA